rnacentral:rRNA from 1 species
UACGGGAGGCAGCAGUGGGGAAUAUUGCACAAUGGGCGCAAGCCUGAUGCAGCCAUGCCGCGUGUAUGAAGAAGGCCUUCGGGUUGUAAAGUACUUUCAGCGGGGAGGAAGGCGAUGUGGUUAAUAACCGCGUCGAUUGACGUUACCCGCAGAAGAAGCACCGGCUAACUCCGUGCCAGCAGCCGCGGUAAUACGGAGGGUGCAAGCGUUAAUCGGAAUUACUGGGCGUAAAGCGCACGCAGGCGGUCUGUUAAGUCAGAUGUGAAAUCCCCGGGCUUAACCUGGGAACUGCAUUUUGAAACUGGCAGGCUUGAGUCUCGUAGAGGGGGUGAAUUCCAGGUGUAGCGGUGAAAUGCGUAGAGAUCUGGAGGAAUACCGGUGGCGAAGGCGGCCCCUGGGCGAAGACUGACGCUCAGGGUGCGAAAGCGUGGGGAGCGAAACAGGGAUUAGGAUACC